GGAAUAUUGGACAAUGGGCGAAAGCCUGAUCCAGCAAUGCCGCGUGUGUGAAGAAGGCCUGCGGGUUGUAAAGCACUUUCAGUAGAGAAGAAAAGCCUACGGUUAAUAACCGUGAGUCUUGACGUACCCUACAGAAGAAGCACCGCCUAACGCGGUGCAACCAGCCGCGGUAAUACGGAGGGUGCAAGCGUUAAUCGGAAUUACUGGGCGUAAAGCGCGCGUAGGCGGCUUUGUAAGUCGGAUGUGAAAGCCCUGGGCUUAACCUGGGAAUUGCAUUCGAUACUGCAUGGCUAGAGUAUGGUAGAGGGAAGUGGAAUUUCCGGUGUAGCGGUGAAAUGCGUAGAUAUCGGAAGGAACACCAGUGGCGAAGGCGACUUCCUGGGCCAAUACUGACGCUGAGGUGCGAAAGCGUGGGGUGCAAAC
rnacentral:rRNA from 1 species